GCCGGGCGCAGUGGCACGUGCCUGUAGUCCCAGCUACUUGGGAGGCUGAGGCUGGAGGAUCUCUUGAGUCCUGGAGUUCCGGGCUGUAGUGCGCUAUGCCGAUCGGGUGUCCGCACUAAGUUUGGCAUCAAUAUGGUGACCUCUCGGGAGCUGGGGACCACCAGGUUGCCUAAGGAUGGGUGAACCGGCCCAGGUCAGAAAUGGAGCAGGUCAAAACCCCCGUGCUGAUCAGUAGUGGGAUCCGCCUGUGAAUAGCCACUGCACUCCAGCCUGGGCAACAUAGUGAGACCCUGGCUCU
rnacentral:SRP_RNA from 1 species